rnacentral:rRNA from 1 species
GAUGAACGCUGGCGGCGUGCCUAAUACAUGCAAGUCGAGCGGAAGGACGCGAAUCUUGCUUCUCUGAUGUUAGCGGCGGGCGGGUGAGUAACACGUGGAUAACCUCCCUAUCAUACUGGGAUAACUUCGGGAAACCGGCGCUAAUACCGGAUAAUAUUUUGCACCGCAUGGUUCAAAAGUGAAAGACGGUCUUUCUGUCACUUAUCGAUGGAUCCCCGCUGCAUUAGCUAGUUGGGAAGGUAACGGCUUAUCAAGGCAACGAUGCAUAGCCGAAGUGAGAGGGGGAUAGGCCACACUGGAACGGAGACGCGGUCCAGACGACUACGGGAGGCAGCAGUAUGGAAUCGGACGCAAUGGGCGAGAGCCUGACGGAGCAACGCCGCGUGAGUUAUGAAGGUGCUCGGAUCGGGAUACUGUGCUAUUAGUGAAGAACAUAUGUGGAAGGAACUGUGCACAUCUUGACGGUACCGAAUCAGAAAGCCACGGCUAACUACGUG